GCGGGCGAGAGUUAGCGCUCCUGGCGAGGACAGAUUAAGGCGAACCCUCGAACGGUGGACAUUCGAGCGGCGCCUCGCCACGUCUCUGCCCCGACUCCGUACCGGACUUGAUGCCUGUCCCGGGUCGUGACGCACGCGCCGGAAGACAAAAGUGUCACCUGGCUCGCUCCCUCCGUGGGGAAGAGAGCCCACUCCCCCUGCGGGCGCGGAACGUCCCAUCUCUGUUCCUGCCGGCCGGGGCCGCAGACGCCGGGGAUCCCUGCAGCGGCGCCCAGAGGGUUAACGCAGGCGUUCUGCUGCUGCUGCAAACCGGCCUCGCAGGAUGCGCACUUAAAAUCCCCGUGUUUUCGUUGUGGGUUUGCUUUUUCUACCUAUGCCUAGCUAGUGGCUCUUUUAGUUCACGCGUAGCGUCUCAGCCCUACACCCUUCUUUCCUGAGGGGAAGAGGAAAUGGAAAGAGAGAGAGAGAAAAACAAACAAACAAACAAAAAAACCACUGGAUAAAGUGCGGUAUUUCAAUGCUAAAAGAUAAAGACUGAAAGCAAUGUAGAAAUAACUGCACACUACAUUAAGGAAUUCAGUUUUUUUCUCCCACGGUUGUGGUACUGAAACCUCCCUAAUAGCAUAUUUCUCAAUGUAAGUAUUGGAAUGCUUAAUUUCCUAAAAAAAUAAAAAUAAAAAAUUAAACUACCUGAA